rnacentral:rRNA from 1 species
UACAGAGGUCUCAAGCGUUGUUCGGAUUCAUUGGGCGUAAAGGGUGCGUAGGUGGCGCUGUAAGUCGGGUGUGAAAUUUCGGAGCUUAACUCCGAAACUGCAUUCGAUACUGCGGUGCUUGAGGACUGGAGAGGAGACUGGAAUUCAUGGUGUAGCAGUGAAAUGCGUAGAGAUCAUGAGGAAGACCAGUGGCGAAGGCGGGUCUCUGGCCCGGUACUGACGCUGAGGUGCGAAAGCGUGGGGAGCAAACAGG